CGGUGUUCAACUGGCGUGUCCGCGGGACGUCCUGCCGGUGGGCUUAGCCCGCAAGGGCGGCCCAACUUCAAAUCCCAUCGCGGUGCUCUUCACUGAGUGUCGAGGUGGGCCGGCACGUUUACCUUGAACAAAUUAGAGUGCUUAAAGCAGGCUAAAACUUCGCCUGAAUACUGUGUGCAUGGAAUAAUGGAAUAGGACCUCGGUUCUAUUUUGUUGGUUUUCGGAACCCCGAGGUAAUGAUUAAUAGGAACGGAUGGGGGCAUUCGUAUUGCGACGUUAGAGGUGAAAUUCUUGGAUCGUCGCAAGACGGACAGAAGCGAAAGCAUUUGCCAAAAACGCUUUCAUUGAUCAAGAACGAAAGUUAGAGGUUCGAAGGCGAUCAGAUACCGCCCUAGUUCUAACCAUAAACGAUGCCAGCUAGCGAUCCGUCGACGUUCCUCCGAUGACUCGACGGGCAGCUUCCGGGAAACCAAAGCUUUUGGGUUCCGGGGGAAGUAUGGUUGCAAAGCUGAAACUUAAAGGAAUUGACGGAAGGGCACCACCAGGAGUGGAGCCUGCGGCUUAAUUUGACUCAACACGGGAAACCUCACCAGGCCCGGACACCGGAAGGAUUGACAGAUUGAGAGCUCUUUCUUGAUUCGGUGGGUGGUGGUGCAUGGCCGUUCUUAGUUGGUGGAGCGAUUUGUCUGGUUAAUUCCGAUAACGAACGAGACUCUAGCCUGCUAACUAGGCGUAUUUUCGACAUCUCAAAGGUCCGUCGUCCCGGCCCUCGGGUCGUGGGCGUGCGCGAUUUUUACUGUCGGCGUACUAUCAAUUCUUCUUAGAGGGACAGGUGGCUUCUAGCCGCACGAGAUUGAGCAAUAACAGGUCUGUGAUG
rnacentral:rRNA from 1 species